rnacentral:rRNA from 1 species
GUAGCGACUCCUACGGGGAGGCAGCAGUGGGGAAUAUUGCAUAAUGGGGGAAACCCUGAUGCAGCCAUGCCGCGUGUGUGAAGAAGGCCUUCGGGUUGUAAAGCACUUUCAGUAGGGAGGAAGGUAGUGUAGUUAACACCUGCACUAUUUGACGUUACCUACAGAAGAAGCACCGGCUAACUCCGUGCCAGCAGCCGCGGUAAUACGGAGGGUGCGAGCGUUAAUCGGAAUUACUGGGCGUAAAGCGCAUGCAGGCGGCCUGUUAAGUCAGAUGUGAAAGCCCGGGGCUUAACCUCGGAAUUGCAUUUGAAACUGGCAGGCUAGAGUCUUGUAGAGGGGGGUAGGAAUUUCAGGUGUAGCGGUGAAAAUGCGUAGAGAUCUGAAGGAAUACCAGUGGCGAAGGCGGCCCCCUGGACAAAGACUGACGCUCAGAUGCGAAAGCGUGGGGAGCAAACAGGAUUAGAUACCCUGGUAG